UCCCGGGUCGUCUAAGGGCAGGACGGCACCCUUUGGAGGUGCUCAUGGAGGUUCGAAUCCUUCCCCGGGAG
rnacentral:tRNA from 1 species